rnacentral:tRNA from 3 species
UCCUCGGUAGUAUAGUGGUCAGUAUCCCCGCCUGUCACGCGGGAGACCGGGGUUCGAUUCCCGCCGGGGAG